rnacentral:lncRNA from 10 species
UCUCUUUCUGUUUGCAUCUUGCCCGUCCUCUUUGCAUAUAAACUAAGUGUCUCCAUUUCUGCUCUCAGAGUGUACCAUGCCACACAACCGAGAUUUCAAGAACAAAUAUCAACAGUGGCUAAGCCAAACAUAUCUUGUCAAGAGAGUGCCACUGCAGUAUAAAGAUUGAUUUGUCAAGGGAGGUCUUGCAUAUAAGUAGAUGUGAAGGCAAGGACUGAGGUUAACAAGUUUCCACUGUGGGAGUUUAUUUAUAACAAAAUAACAAAAGGACAGUUCUGCCUCUGCCAAUUACUUUCCAUCCUCUCCUACAUUCAUUGCCUAGUGGCUCCAUUCAUCACCAGGAAGCAGCCUCUGUAGCGCAAAUACAGGUAGAGUUCUGUGGACAAAAAGCUUGCCCUCAGAACUUAUGUCUUCAUUUCGAUUAGGACAAUUUCAUGCCAUUCGGUACCACUUUGGAGUGUUCUUUGUGCCCGGUUCAGACCUGGAAUCUUUCACUGUUCCCUGGACCAGUAAUACCAUUGUGCAAUCCUUCCUCAGUAUCUGGUGACAUCCUGUGUUUGGAAUGGCCACUUCUAAUGCCUGCAUUUGCUGAGAAGUUCUUUGGAGAAGGGGCAUAGAAGCAAAUGAAGUCAUAUUCCUUCUUGUAGUUCCAAAUCUCACCAGGAAGAGGAGAUCCUUAGACCAAUGUUCUUUCCCCUGAACCAGAGAUGAGGAACUUUUUCACAACUCUUGUGCCUUUUUGAGAAGAUGGGAGAAGUAACUACACACUGCCUUCCCCUUUCUCUUCUCACUGACCCCUCUCCAUGGAAAGAAGAGCAGCCAAUGAGAUGAGUCAGAGUCAGAUGCUAGGACUUGACUAUAAGCCACAGGUUUGAUUACUAGAAAGGAGUCCUGAUCCAGACCCCAAGAGAGGGUUGUUUGAUCUUGUGCAAGAAAGAAUUCAGGGUAAGUCCAUAGAGUAAAGUGAAAACAAGUUUAUUGGGAAAGUAAAGGAAUAAAGAAUGUCUACUCCAUAGGCAGAGGAGGAGCAGGGGCUGCUCAGCUGCUUAUAGUUAUUGUUACUUCUUGAUUAUAUGCUAAACAGGUGUGGAUUAUUCAUGAGGUUUCCAGGAAAGGGGUGGCCAAGUCCCAGAGCUGAGGGUCCCACCCCUUUUUAGCCCAUAUAGGAUAACUUCCUGACAUUGCCAUGACAUUCAUACUGUCAUGGUGCUGGUGAGAGCAUCUUUUAGCAUGCUAAUGCAUUAUAAUCAGUGGAUAAUGAGCAAUGAAGACCACCAGGGGUCACUUUCAUCCUUUCAUCACCAUCUUGGUUUUGGUGGGUUUUGGCUGGCUUCUUUACUGGAAACUGUUUUAUCAGCAAGGUCUUCGUGACCUGUACCUUGUGCCAACCUCCUAUUUCGUCCUGUGAUUUAGAAUGCCUAACCUCCUGGGAAUACAGUCUAAUAGGGCUCAGCCUUAUUUUAACCAGCCCCUAUUCAAGAUGGAGUCACUCUGGUUCAAACGCCUCUAAUAGUUUUACCCUGACUCUGCCUGGGCCCUGCUUGCCUCCUGGAUUGGUCAUUAGUGCAGUGGGUUCUCACCUGCUUCCUUCCCUCUUACUGGAGGUUCUCCUCCCUCAGAACAUACCUUUAGCCUCCCCAUUCAUGAUUAGUGAGUAAAUGAGGUUUAUGCAGUCCUGUGGGCUCAGCUGACUCUACUUAAUUGUUAACAGAAUUUGAUAUCCUACUUGAGUCCUCAAACCUUAGCCAUUUCUUUUAGCACAGUUUACGACAAAUCCUACUUGUUAGUCACUGUUUUUACAUGAUUAAUAAAGCCGAAAUUUUUAGUCUUGUUUUGGCUAAUGAUUCUUGUGCCAAUUCUUUCCAUAGAUUAAAAUUUGGGGAGAACAGAAUGGAGUAAUUGUCACCUCUAAUCACUAAGCCUCAGAUAUAGUCAAAUUUGAAUGAACCAUUAUUUAAGUUAACUUUAUUUUUCUAUCCUAGGCUUCUAAAGAGAUGAUUGACCUAAAAAAAGCUAAAGUAUGGGAUUUUAAUAAGAAAAAUUUCAGAAUUAAUACAUAUUUGGCUUAACUUUUAAUCUCUUAAAGGUGAGAAUGAGAAGGGGGUGUUAGUGGUUUGACAAAAAGGAAAAGGAAGAAAAUUCUAUAUCCAUCUUAAAAAGUGGGAGAGUUAAUUCACUAGUGGGUUGUAAGAGGAUCUCUGG